ACUCUAAUAGUUUACAAAA
rnacentral:tRNA from 1 species